rnacentral:hammerhead_ribozyme from 1 species
AUCCAAUUGAGGAGUCCCAAAUAGGACGAAACACACGUCAAACUGGAU